rnacentral:rRNA from 1 species
UACAGAGGGGGCAAGCGUUGUUCGGAAUUACUGGGCGUAAAGGGCGCGUAGGCGGCCUUCUAAGUCGAACGUGAAAUCCCCGGGCUCAACCCGGGAACUGCGUCCGAUACUGGAAGGCUUGAAUCCGGGAGAGGGAUGUGGAAUUCCAGGUGUAGCGGUGAAAUGCGUAGGAUAAUCUGGAGGAACACCGGUGGCGAAGGCG